GUAACCUGUGAAGGACUCUCAGAAAGUCACAGGAACUUGAAAAUCAUUUAUUCUACCUCCCAUUUCCACAUUUUCCAGAUACAGAAGCCAAAGCUGAGAGGGGGGAGAUAACUAUCCCAAAAGCACGACGUCGGUGGGGAGCAGGGUUGCCAGAGAAAACACAGGACAUCCAGUGAAGCCACUGCUGGAAAAGGAGGAGGAGGAUGGACACUGGGCGGCCACACUGGGUGCCGAGCUCUUCUGUCAGGACUGGCGGGGCUGUGUGCCCUUAGCCUGCUGCAGCAGCGAGGCCGGCUCUGGACCAACUCCCUGAGGAUCCAGUGCAGCCUCCUGGCUCAGGCAAAGCAGCCAGCGCACCAGUGCAGCACCGGCCAGAGGCUGCCGACAGAGAGUGGCUUAGAUGGCGCUUACCGGCUGGAGCUGGGCCACAAGCUCCACAGCACACAGAUCCUGGCCUCAGCCACAAGGUGGGUGCCCAGGCCAGGUGGGACAUCCAGAGAGAGCACCAGAGUCUGGCAAGGUGAUCUGAGUACCCUGAGCUCAUUCCUAAAGAGAUGAGCUUGCUCCCAAUAGCAUAGCCUCAUAGGACAGCUGGAACUCAGCCUUGGUGACUUUCCCUUUUGCAUCUCCAACCCCACGUCCCCAGAAGUAAGAAAUGCUUGUCACAGUGCCAAGGACUGGAAGGAGGGCUUGGGAAACAGAUUUUCAACCGUAAAAAUGCAUUUUGGAAACAGCAGUUCACUUAGUUGUUCCCGGAGUCGGGGUUCUUUUGCUGAGUUAGGAAUGACGAUGUGCUCAGCAGAUGAACAGGUGGCGGUUCUUCUACCGCAUGCAGUUA
rnacentral:lncRNA from 1 species